rnacentral:rRNA from 1 species
UGGCUCAGAUUGAACGCUGGCGGCAGGCCUAACACAUGCAAGUCGAACGGUAACAGGAAGAAGCUUGCUCUUGCUGACGAGUGGCGGACGGGUGAGUAAUGUCUGGGAAACUGCCUGAUGGAGGGGGAUAACUACUGGAAACGGUAGCUAAUACCGCAUAACGUCGCAAGACCAAAGAGGGGGACCUUCGGGCCUCUUGCCAUCGGAUGUGCCCAGAUGGGAUUAGCUUGUUGGUGGGGUAACGGCUCACCAAGGCGACGAUCCCUAGCUGGUCUGAGAGGAUGACCAGCCACACUGGAACUGAGACACGGUCCAGACUCCUACGGGAGGCAGCAGUGGGGAAUAUUGCACAAUGGGCGCAAGCCUGAUGCAGCCAUGCCGCGUGUAUGAAGAAGGCCUUCGGGUUGUAAAGUACUUUCAGCGGGGAGGAAGGGAGUGAAGUUAAUACCUUUGCUCAUUGACGUUACCCGCAGAAGAAGCACCGGCUAACUCCGUGCCAGCAGCUGC